CUGGGAAACGGAGCCGUCGCUCCAUCGGUGCCGCUCGAGCCAACCGCGAACGAGGAGGAUGCCGACGCGGCGGGCGGGGGUGGGGCGGCCGAUGGGGAGGUGCGUCGAGGGGGGAUGGGGAGCGGCGGCGCGAGCGCAUCGGUGGGAGGGAAGAUGCGAGGGGUUUGGCUGAGUUUUGAGUCUGGGCUUGGGCGCGAGGGUGCGGUGGCGGAGGGUGCGGUUUCAUCGCUCCAGGCGGCAGGGAGACCGGGUCAGCGGAGGGUGCGGUGGCGGAGGGUCGCGCGGAGGUCGCGAUUCGCGUCAGCGGGGGCUGCGGCUCGCGCUGAUUAG
rnacentral:misc_RNA from 1 species